UACGUAGGGUGCAAGCGUUAAUCGGAAUUACUGGGCGUAAAGCGUGCGCAGGCGGUGAUGUAAGACAGGUGUGAAAUCCCCGGGCUUAACCUGGGAACUGCAUUUGUGACUGCAUCGCUGGAGUGCGGCAGAGGGGGAUGGAAUUCCGCGUGUAGCAGUGAAAUGCGUAGAUAUGCGGAGGAACACCGAUGGCGAAGGCGGCAUCCUGGACCAACACUGACGCUGAGUGAGCGAAAGCCAGGGGAGCAAACGGG
rnacentral:rRNA from 1 species